CCUGAACAUCACCCUGAGGCUCAUCACAGUACCAGCAAACGUGCAGCUCACUAGUUCCAGACUCUCUGCUCUGAGGACACAUGAAGCUGAUGGACACUCACACACCUGCAGACCAAUCGAGAGCGAGCAGGACAAAGAGAAACGCACAGCGGGCAUUAGGCAUUGGGAGCUGAAGGAGGAGCUGAAGGAGGAGAC